rnacentral:lncRNA from 1 species
UUGCUUAUUUGCAUAGCCAAUCAUAGUUGUUCACUAAAUACUUGCAGAUUGGGUCAAUAUUGCAUAUGUCUAUAUCUCAGGUAUACUAAUGUCUAUCAACUUUUCCUUUAAGGUAUCCAUGAUUAAAAUAAUCUGCAUGUAAUACAGGGAACUCUUGAAGCUACCCCAAAUUAGCCUGCAAUGACAAGUUUGAAUAUUGCCAAUCCACAGUGGACAAUACGACAUUAAUGCUUCAGCAAGAAUUUGUUUAGACUGGAAAACAUUUUCAUCUACUAAACUUCCUUCUUAUGUUCCUUGGUAUGUUGGCAACAAUGUCCUCAGAAAGUCCAUUCAGGUUUUAAAUUGGUUCUUGGUAAAUCAACUCACAAGUCAGGUACACAGAAAACUCAGUAAAUUGCAAUUUGUUUUUCCCAUUAUAGUAUGAUGGAGAACAAAGAUCAAUAAAUAAGCAGUUAAGAGUCUGUGUGGGUUUGGCUAGAGUACUGCCACCAAAGACUCAUGAGACCAUGAACAAAGUAAGCUGGACCAAUACCACAAGGGUAAAGUGAGAAAGUUCCUUGGAUCAGUUCACUCUUUUUACAGUAUGGAUAAAUUGAUAACAGCCAACCAGUGGAAGGGCCAUGAGCUGUGUGCUUAUGUUACUAGCUUUGAAGAAGCUCUACUUCUCCUUUGUAAAGAUGAGGAAACUGUGACUUACAGAAGAGAGACAGGAAAGUCUUCAGAUGAACAGAAGAAGAAAUGAGAGUAUACUGGAAUUUUUGUUUAUUUUGAAAGGAAUCUAUUAGCCAGAAAGGAAGAGUAAAUUCAUUUUGCCUGGCUGGGCAGGGGGCAGCUGAAUCACAAGGAUCAAAUGUAGCACAAAAGAACAAGAGUAACUGGCUUACUCUAACAUGAAACCAUUCUGAGUAAAGUGUAAAGAAGAAGAAUUAAAGUAAGCAAGAUUUGUUUUCUAAGAGACCAAGAUGAGACCUAUGGUUGUGUUCCUUCAGGAAGUGGAAAAUAAAAAUAGUUGCUUCUCAUCAGAUUACUGAAGUGAACUUGUCAGGCACAGUGCAUACAUUAGAG